CCUACGGGUGGCAGCAGUGAGGAAUAGUGGUCAAGGGGCGCGAGCCUGAACCAGCCAAGUAGCGUGAAGGAUGACUGCCCUACGGGUUGUAAACUUCUUUUAUAAAGGAAUAAAGUGAGGCACGGGUGCCGUGUUGUAUGUACGUUAUGAAUAAGGAUCGGCUAACUCCGUGCCAGCAGCCGCGGUAAUACGGAGGAUCCGAGCGUUAUCCGGAUUUAUUGGGGGUCAAGGGAGCGUAGAGGGGUUGUUAAGUCAGUUGGGAAAGUUUGCGGCUCCACCGUAAAAUGGCCAUUGAUACUGGCAGUCUUGAGUACAGUUGCGGUCGGCGGAAUUCGUUGUGUCGCGG
rnacentral:rRNA from 1 species